rnacentral:rRNA from 1 species
UGGGGGAUAUUGCACAAUGGGCGAAAGCCUGAUGCAGCGACGCCGCGUGGGGGAUGAAGGCCUUCGGGUUGUAAACUUCUUUUGCUCUGAACAAGGCGCACCAUGGGGUGUGUUGAGUGUAGGGGUUGAUUAGCGCCGGCUAACUAGGUGCCAGCAGCCGCGGUAAUACGUAGGGCGCGAGCGUUGUCCGGAAUUAGUGGGCGUAAAGGGCUUGUAGGUGGCUGGUUGCGUCUGUCGUGAAAGCUCAUGGCUUAACUGUGGGUUUGCGGUGGGUACGGGCUGGCUUGAGUGCAGUAGGGGAGGCUGGAAUUCCUGGUGUAGCGGUGGAAUGCGCAGAUAUCAGGAGGAAUACCGGUGGCGAAGGCGGGUCUCUGGGCUGUUACUGACACUGAGGAGCGAAAGCAUGGGGAGCGAACAGG